CUAAUUUGAAGAAGCCAGGCGCUUUUCUCUUCCCCUCCCCAAGACUGCCUUUAUCUGAAAGAAGAAAGAAGGAACUGUUACAUUUUGCAUGCAAAGAAAGCCAGAGUGGCUAGAUUACUCCCUUAGGGUAAUGGAGAAAGGAAAAAGAAAUUGAAAAAGGUCAGGUGAACAAAGCAGAAGGAAUGAAGAGGUUUGUGUGAUUCUUAGUGAAAUUGGACCAGUCUAAGCAACCAGACAGGCUUCACAACGAAUGUAAAAGACAAGUCUCAGGAAAAGAUGUAAUUCUAUGGAAGAAAAAAGAUAGAAACUAACAUUACCCAAAUGAAAACAGAUGACGAUAAAGAUCAUUUCUUGAACAAUAUCUUCACAUCAUGGCUGGGCAAAGUGGAAAGAGACAGAAAACUGGAAUGUUCCAGACAUUGCAAAUAAGAAGAGUGAAGGAUGACAGAUCAAUUAGCUGAGAGAUAAAAAAUGAGAAGACUGGGGGGACAUUGGUACUGGAAAAUUUCACUUACCUGAGCAGCCAGGAUCCAGGGGAAGCUGACAUUGAAGAGAGGAUAAAUACAAAGUGUUUCCUGGUGCCUUUACUAAUGUGGCAAUAGAAAGAACAAGCUCAAGAAAUUCAAUCAAAGUUGCAGAUAAUAGCAACUUCCCAUUGCUUUAAAAAGUAAUAAUAACCACAACACACUAUGAGAUAAAGCUCCAGGAGAAACAAUAAAGAGAAGAAAUGCACCUUUGAGAGUUGGGGUUCUAAAUGGCAAUAAUCACUUGCCAAAGAUUAUCGUGUGACUAUUAGCCACAACUAUUCCUCAUCCAGCAAGAGCUGAGGAGCAUAAGGGCAUCAGAGAUUCAUCCUGUGUGAAAGGUGAGAUUGCAAUGCUCAAAUGCUCAUGAGGCCUGAGCCCCAUCACUAAGUUGAAAAGCAUUUAUUU
rnacentral:lncRNA from 10 species